CUUUAUUGGAGAGUUUGAUCCUGGCUCAGGAUGAACGCUGGCGGCGUGCCUAAUACAUGCAAGUCGAGCGAAUGACGAGGAGCUUGCUCCUCUGAUUUAGCGGCGGACGGGUGAGUAACACGUGGGUAACCUGCCUGUAAGACGGGGAUAACUCCGGGAAACCGGAGCUAAUACCGGAUGAUAACGA
rnacentral:rRNA from 1 species